GAUGAACGCUGACAGAAUGCUUAACACGUGCAAGUCAACUUGAACUUCGGUUUGGGUGGCGGACGGGUGAGUAACGCGUAAAGAACUUGCCUCACAGAUAGGGACAACAUUUGGAAACGAAUGCUAAUACCUGAUAUUAUGAUUAUAUGGCAUCGUAUAAUUAUGAAAGCUAUAUGCGCUGUGAGAGAGCUUUGCGUCCCAUUAGCUAGUUGGAGAGGUAACGGCUCACCAAGGCGAUGAUGGGUAGCCGGCCUGAGAGGGUGAUCGGCCACAAGGGGACUGAGGCACGGCCCUUACUCCUACGGGAGGCAGCAGUGGGGAAUAUUGGACAAUGGACCAAGAGUCUGAUCCAGCAAUUCUGUGUGCACGAUGAAGUUUUUCGGAAUGUAAAGUGCUUUCAGUUGGGAAGAAAAAAAUGACGGUACCAACAGAAGAAGUGACGGCUAAAUACGUG
rnacentral:rRNA from 1 species